UCCUUGGUAGUUCAAAGGUUAAAGCGUCUGCCUGCAAUGCGGGAGACCCAGGUUCGAUCCCUGGGUUGGGAA
rnacentral:tRNA from 1 species